rnacentral:rRNA from 1 species
UACGUAGGGGGCAAGCGUUGUCCGGAUUUAUUGGGCGUAAAGAGCGUGUAGGCGGCCAUGCAGGUCCGUUGUGAAAACUCGAGGCUCAACCUCGAGACGUCGGCGGAAACCAUCUGGCUAGAGUCCGGAAGAGGAGAGUGGAAUUCCUGGUGUAGCGGUGAAAUGCGCAGAUAUCAGGAAGAACACCCGUGGCGAAGGCGGCUCUCUGGGACGGUACUGACGCUGAGGAGCGAAAGCGUGGGGAGCGAACAGG